GACGAACGCUGGCGGCGUGCUUAACACAUGCAAGUCGAACGGAAAGGCCCUGCUCUUGUGGGGUGCUCGAGUGGCGAACGGGUGAGUAAAACGUGAGUAACCUGCCCUUGACUGUGGGAUAAAUCCAGGAAACAGGGGCUAUUAUCGGAUAGGAGCUCCUGCUGCGCGGUGGGGGUUGGAAAGUUUCGGCGGUUGGGGAUGGACUCGCGGCUUAUCAGCUUGUUGGUGGGGUAGUGGCUUACCAAGGCUUUGACGGGUAGCCGGCCUGAGAGGGUGACCGGCCACAUUGGGACUGAGGUACGGCCCAGACUCCUACGGGCGGCAGCAGUGGGGAAUCUUGCGCAAUGGGCGGAAGCCUGAUGCAGCAACGCCGCGUGCGGGAUAACGUCCUUCGGGUUGUAAACCGCUUUCGCCGGUGCCGAAGCGUGAGUGACGGUAAUGGGUAAGAAAGCCCCGGCUAACUACGUG
rnacentral:rRNA from 1 species